rnacentral:sRNA from 1 species
GCCAGGUGAAGUGGUGCAUACCUGUAAUCCCAGCAACUUGGGAGGCUGAGGCAGGAGGAUCACACAUAUUUGAGGUCACCCUCAGCAACUUAGGCCCUAAGCAAUUUAAUGAGACCCUGUUUCAA